CCCAGGAGCCAAGAAGACAAGGAAAACCCUUUUUGUUCAUCCAAAAUUCAACAAUUGAAGCUUUAAUCUUGGCUAGCACUCAUGCAUGUCCUUGAUUCCUUAGUCAUCCAAGCAUACUAACACACUAGGAGUUAAGGAAGAAAGUUCAAGCCGUUCCGGAACACAAGCUAGCAACGACAAAGGUAAAUCGUCUUGAUAAUUGGCGCCGCCUUGGAACGGACAUACCAAUUCGCUCGCUUCCGCAAUGAUGCUAGUUGAUGGGUCUAAACUUUUGUUAGAUGGUUUUGGUUAUGUUGGGUCUUUUGUUGAUAACUUAACUUUGAAGUUUGUCGAUGUCGAAAGUUUUGUGGUUUUAAGACUAUGUUAGUUGUUUAAGGACUCUUGGGAUGUAAACUCUUUUGUAAAUUA